UCCCUGGUACUCCAGUGGUUAGGACUCUGCACUUUCACUGCUGAGCGGGCAGGUUCAAUCCCUGCUCAAGGAA
rnacentral:tRNA from 1 species